rnacentral:rRNA from 1 species
GACGAACGCUGGCGGCGUGCCUAAUGCAUGCAAGUUGAGCGCUGAAGGUUGGUACUUGUACCGACUGGAUGAGCAGCGAACGGGUGAGUAACGCGUGGGGAAUCUGCCUUUGAGCGGGGGACAACAUUUGGAAACGAGUGCUAAUACCGCAUAAAAACUUUAAACACAAGUUUUAAGUUUGAAAGAUGCAAUUGCAUCACUCAAAGAUGAUCCCGCGUUGUAUUAGCUAGUUGGUGAGGUAAAGGCUCACCAAGGCGAUGAUACAUAGCCGACCUGAGAGGGUGAUCGGCCACAUUGGGACUGAGACACGGCCCAAACUCCUACGGGAGGCAGCAGUAGGGAAUCUUCGGCAAUGGACGAAAGUCUGACCGAGCAACGCCGCGUGAGUGAAGAAGGGUUUCGGAUCGUAAAACUCUGUUGGUAGAGAAGAACGUUGGUGAGAGUGGAAAGCUCAUCAAGUGACGGUAACUACCCAGAAAGGGACGGCUAACUACGUG